rnacentral:rRNA from 1 species
UACGGGGGGGGGCAAGCGUUGUUCGGAAUUACUGGGCGUAAAGGGCUCGUAGGCGGCCAACUAAGUCAGACGUGAAAUCCCUCAGCUUAACUGGGGAACUGCGUCUGAUACUGGAUGGCUUGGAUUCGGGAGAGGAAUGCGGAAUUCCAGGUGUAGCGGUGAAAUGCGCAGAUAUCAGGAGGAACACCGGUGGCGAAGGCGGUUCUCUGGGCAUUACCUGACGCUGAGGAGCGAAAGCAUGGGGAGCGAACAGG